rnacentral:tRNA from 1 species
GCCUUCGUGGUGCAACGGUAGUACACUUGGAGCGUAUUCGAGAGGUCCAGGUUCGAGUCCCGGCGAGGGCA